rnacentral:rRNA from 1 species
GUGGGGAAUAUUGGACAAUGGGCGCAAGCCUGAUCCAGCCAUACCGCGUGGGUGAAGAAGGCCUUCGGGUUGUAAAGCCCUUUUGUUGGGAAAGAAAUCCUGUCGGUUAAUACCUGGCGGGGAUGACGGUACCCAAAGAAUAAGCACCGGCUAACUUCGUGCCAGCAGCCGCGGUAAUACGAAGGGUGCAAGCGUUACUCGGAAUUACUGGGCGUAAAGCGUGCGUAGGUGGUGGUUUAAGUCCGUUGUGAAAGCCCUGGGCUCAACCUGGGAAUUGCAGUGGAUACUGGAUCACUAGAGUGUGGUAGAGGGAUGCGGAAUUUCUGGUGUAGCAGUGAAAUGCGUAGAGAUCAGAAGGAACAUCCGUGGCGAAGGCGGCAUCCUGGGCCAACACUGACACUGAGGCACGAAAGCGUGGGGAGCAAACAGGAUUAGAAACCCUAGUAGUCC